GACGAACGCUGGCGGCGUGCCUAAUACAUGCAAGUAGAACGCUGAAGGAGGAGCUUGCUUCUCUGGAUGAGUUGCGAACGGGUGAGUAACGCGUAGGUAACCUGCCUGGUAGCGGGGGAUAACUAUUGGAAACGAUAGCUAAUACCGCAUAAUAGCAGUUGUUGCAUGACAACUGUUUGAAAGGUGCAAUUGCACCACUACCAGAUGGACCUGCGUUGUAUUAGCUAGUUGGUGGGGUAACGGCUCACCAAGGCGACGAUACAUAGCCGACCUGAGAGGGGGAUCGGCCACACUGGGACUGAGACACGGCCCAGACUCCUACGGGAGGCAGCAGUAGGGAAUCUUCGGCAAUGGACGGAAGUCUGACCGAGCAACGCCGCGUGAGUGAAGAAGGUUUUCGGAUCGUAAAGCUCUGUUGUAAGAGAAGAACGAGUGUGAGAGUGGAAAGUUCACACUGUGACGGUAUCUUACCAGAAAGGGACGGCUAACUACGUG
rnacentral:rRNA from 1 species